CCUGUGCAGGGAACAGGCCAUCUCCGAAACAGACCAAGUGGCACAACCUCUACCAGAAGAUUGAGUAGUGUCCCACGAUGCUGCGUGGGCAGACCUCUAUCUUAAGGGUAGCGCAGACAUGUACCUGUGGCUUUCACCCCCAGCAGCCCUGCAGCUACCUCAGCCUCCACCUCUGCUGCGCCUGCACGGAGCCCUGGGAGGCCUGCAUUGACGCUGGCGAUGUUUGAGAAAGCGCGGUUCGGUGGGACUUUGUCUGCUGCAGCCAAGCCGAAUGUCAAUCUGACUAGGAGGCCUGUUGAGCGUCCCUCCAGCCCUGCCACUGUCCCGUCUGGGAGAAGCACUCCAUCCGCUACCCCACCUCGAGUGACGCCCCCUUCCAGUCCCAGCUUCUACAGGCCUGUCUCCCCUUUCUCUCUGCCUCCAUCCAGCCCUGUCAUGUCGGGGGUUGUAUCAGAUACGAGUCCUGCUCCUCCAGGUCUCCUCCCUGCUCCUCCUGGUCUCCUCCCUGCUCCUCCUGGUCCCCUCCCUGCUCCUCCUGGUCCCCUCCCUGC